UUCUUCGUGGAUUCCUUCCCUGUUUCAUAAUUUGAUUUACACUCAAGUUUACAGUAUUGAGUCUGCAUUUCUUUUUUGAAAACAGAGGUUGAUCGAUGACGAAGUUGAAAAAGUCAAAGGAUUCCCUGUAGAUACAAUUGUGCCACUUCGAGAACGGUUGAAAAUAUUAGGCCGUGUUGCAAAUGUAGAAGAUAUUCACACGGAUGCUGCAGAGAGGAAACUUAUGCAGGCAUACAAUGAAAAGCCUUUUCUUUCACGCCCUCGGCAUGAGUUCUGCUUGGGAGAAAACUAUUUCGAGAUCGAUAUAGAUAUGCACAGAUUCAGUUACAUCUCUAGGAAAGGUUUUGAUGCAUUCCUAGAUAGGCUAAAGCUUUGCAUCUUAGUCGUCGGUCUAACUAUUCAGGCAAGUUCCGAUAUCUCGCUUGCAACUUCAAGAUCCCCCUCCCCACUUUCCCCUGAUUUUUUUAAUUUUUUCUUUUCUUUUUAUAAUGACGUUUAAACAUUGUUUGCCUUUGAAAACAGGGGAACCGAACUGAAGAGUUGCCCGAAGAGAUCUUAUGUCGUUUACGCUUGAGCGGAAUCGACUAUAUGAAGCACCACCAACUGGGUUUGAUGCAAGAGCCUUGUUAUACUUUCUGAGCUUGAAGACGACAAUUGGACUUCCUCAUCCGCUCAUCUUCCUACUCGGACAUUAAGAGCUACUUCCGGUUUACAACGCGUCUCGUAAUGAACAAGGGGGUGUUUUGUUCGAAACUCGUCCGCUCCGAUGGCAUUAUUUGUCAUGAUAUGUACAAAUAUAAUCAUGAAUUUAUUUUUGGAAAAGA